UUUAAGGAGGUAGACCUAGGUUAAGGGAAAUAACUCUUAAAAUCAUCAGUACGUUUGUGUCAACCAUUUUCAAAAAAAAAAAAAAAAAAAAAAAAAAAAAAAAAAAAAAAAAAAAAAAAAAAAAAAAAAAAAAAAAAAAAAAAAAAAAAAAAAAAAAAAAAAAAAAAAAAAUAUUCUAAGCUUCUAGGUUACAUAGAUUAUUUUUAAUCUGUUUCAGGUAAAUGCUUAAAAAACAUUGAUGAACUUGACUUUUACAAACGCUUAACUGAUUUAAAGAGUUAUCUCCCUGAACCAAGGUCUACCCCCUUAAAUA
rnacentral:lncRNA from 1 species